ensembl:lncRNA
UUUUUUCCAAGCACAUUUUACCAAUUCCAAAUCACAUCAAUCUUAAUAAAUACUAUACAUUUGUUAUUUAAUCAUUUAUGAGUGAUAUAUAAUUGUCCUUGAAGGCUGGAAGUGAAAAACUCCUUAUAUUCAGGAGUGCUGAAUUAUUAGGCAUGUUUUUUUGCCAUGCUUUGGUCAUAGAGCUCAUUGUAGCGGUGCCUCAGGUGUUGAAAUAGAUUUGUUAUACAUUAUACAGGUUCACACGUACUCCGUCCGCAUGCGUAUACAGUAUGUGUAUGCGGUUCAGAAGCAGCAGCGAGAGCGCGUUAUUGUAACGCGAAAGCACAUUAAAAUAAUGCGCGAGCGCGAAUCUAUCCGCUCGCACGCAGAUUUCCUCUGCUUUGUCACAAAACCAGACACGCGUGCUCAGAUACAUGCUAUAGCCCGG